rnacentral:rRNA from 1 species
GACGAACGCUGGCGGCGUGCUUAACACAUGCAAGUCGAACGGAAAGGCCCUGCUUGCCGGGUACUCGAGUGGCGAACGGGUGAGUAACACGUGGGUGAUCUGCCCUGCACUUCGGGAUAAGCCUGGGAAACUGGGUCUAAUACCGGAUAGGAGCCAUUUUUAGUGUGAUGGUUGGAAAGUUUUUUCGGUGUAGGAUGAGCUCGCGGCCUAUCAGCUUGUUGGUGGGGUAAUGGCCUACCAAGGCGGCGACGGGUAGCCGGCCUGAGAGGGUGGACGGCCACAUUGGGACUGAGAUACGGCCCAGACGCCGACGGGAGGCAGCAGUGGGGAAUAUUGCACAAUGGGCGCAAGCCUGAUGCAGCGACGCCGCGGGGGGGAUGACGGCCUUCGGGUUGUAAACUCCUUUCACUAGGGACGAAGCUUUUUGUGACGGUACCUAGAGAAGAAGCACCGGCUAACUACGUG